rnacentral:rRNA from 1 species
UACGUAGGGUGCAAGCGUUGUCCGGAAUUAUUGGGCGUAAAGAGCUCGUAGGCGGUUUGUCGCGUCGAAUGUGAAAACCCGGGGCUCAACCCCGGGCCUGCAUUCGAUACGGGCAGACUAGAGUUCGGUAGGGGAGUCUGGAAUUCCUGGUGUAGCGGUGAAAUGCGCAGAUAUCAGGAGGAACACCGGUGGCGAAGGCGGGACUCUGGGCCGAUACUGACGCUGAGGAGCGGAAGCGUGGGGAGCAAACGGG